rnacentral:rRNA from 1 species
ACUUAUUUAAAGGGCCGCGGUAAUUUGACCGUGCGAAGGUAGCACAAUCACUUGUCUUUUAAUUGGGGGCUAGAAUGAACGGCUGGAUGAGAGAUUAAGUGUCUCUGAGCUAUAAAUAAAACUUUACUUUUAAGUGAAAAGGCUUAAAUUUCAUUAAGUGAAGAUAAGACCCUAUAAAACUUAUAUAAAAAUUGGUUAUAGCAUGUUUGAUAGUGUAUAGAACGAGAUAACUUAGACUAUAUUUUGUUGGGGCGACAAUAAUAGAAUGAGUAUCUGUUGUUUAUAAUAAGUUAAUGCUGGUUAAAGAGUGAGCCUUUUGUAAGGAUCAAAAGAUUAAGUUACUUUAGGGAUAACAGCGUAAUUUUCUUUGAGAGACCUAAUCGACAAGAGUAGUUGCGACCUCGAUGUUGAAUUAAAAUUUUCUAUAAAGUGCAGAAGCUUUAAUAGUGAGUCUGUUCGACUCUUAAAAUUUUACAUGAUUUGAGUUCAAACCGGUGUGAGCCAGGUU